CAUACUUUUGGUCAUAUUGUGAAACUGAUGUGUUUGUUGCGCUGUGUUUUUAUUUUCCACAUGCUCUAGACUACCCUUUCUCCUAUUGGCUGUCCAGAAGUCUCCCCCAGCCAAUCAGCAGUGCAGGAGGUUCAGGUCAGCGUGGGGUCUUCAGGUCCUCCUGUGUGUAGACACGUGGACCAGUGGAGGGCGCUCUGCAGUCCAGGUGUGGUCAGUGUCCCAGUGUUUGAGGAUCCCUGACCUCCAGUACACAUCAGCAGAAGCACGAUUCUGUACUUUAUUUAAACAUGAAUAAAACUGGAUUUUUGUUAAA